UUGAUCAUGGCUCAGAUUGAACGCUGGCGGGAUGCUUUACAUGCAAGUCAGGCAACGGCACGGUUUCGGUCUGGUGGCGAGUGGCAAAGAACAGGUGAGUAAUGUAUCGGAACGUGCCUAGUAGCGGGGAUAACUACGCAAAGCGUAGCUAAUACCGCAUAUACGCCCAUCUCGGGGAAAGCAGAGACCUUCGGGCCUCCUUUUCUAUUAGAGCAGCCGAUAUCGGAUUAGCUUAGUUGGUGGAGUAACGGCUCGCAAGGCGACGAUCCGUAGCUGGUUUGAGAGGACGACCAGCCACACUAGGGACUGAGACACGAGGCCCAGACUCUACAGGAGGCAGCAGUGGGGGAAUUUUGGACAAUGAAACCUGGAAGUCCAGCCAUCCCGCGUGUACGAUGAAGGCCUUCGGGUUGUAAAGCACUUUUGGCAGAAAGAAACGCUGGGAUAAUACGUGCAACUGACGGUACCUGCAGAAUAAGCACCAGCUAACUACGUGCCAGCAGCCGCGGUAAUACGGCGAGGUGCAAGCGUUAAUCGGAAUUACUGGGCGUAAAGCGUGCAGGCGGUUCGGAAGAAAGAUGUGAAAUCCCCAGAGCUUAACACGGAACUGCAUUUUUAACUACCGAGCUAGAGUGUGUCAGAGGGUGGAAUUCCGCGUGUAGCAGUGAAAUGCGUAGAUAUGCGGAGGAACACCGAUGGCGAAGGCAGCCUCCUGGGAUAACACGCUCAUGCACGAAAGCGUGGGAGUAGAACAGGAUUAGAUACCACAGGCCAGUCCGCCUAAACGAUGUCAGCUAGCUGUUGUUGGGGCCUUUGAGCGCUUGAUGAAGCGCAGCUAACGCGUGAAGUUGACCGCCUGCUAAGAGUACAGUCGCAGAGAUUAAAACUCAAAGGAAUUGACGGGGACCCGCACAAGCGGUGGAUGAUGUGGAUUAAUUCGAUGCAACGCGAAAAACCUUACCUACCCGGCAUAUCUGGAAUCCCGAAGAGAUUUGGGAGUGCUCGCAAGAAAGGCGGAACACAGGAGUGCUGCACGCCAGCUUCCUUCGUCAGCUCGUGUCGUGAGAUGUUGGGUUAAGAUCCCCGCAACGAAGCUGUACCAUCCUUCGGUUAGCUACGAAGGGCCUCUGUAAUGAGACUGCCGGUGACAAACCGGAGGAAGGUGAGGAUGACGUCAAGUCCUCAUGGCCCUUAUAGGUAGGGCUUCACACGUCAUACAAUGGUCAGGACCGAAGGGUCGCCAACCCGCGAGGGAGCCAAUCCCAGAAGCCUUGAUCGUAGUCCGGAUCAUGAUCUGCAACUCUGACUGCGUGAAAUUCGGAGAUCGCUAGUAAUCGCGGAUCAGCAUGUCGCGGUGGAUACGUUCCCGGGUCUUGUACACACCGCCCGUCACACCAUGGGAGUGGGUUUUACCAAGUAGUUAGCCUAACCGUAAGGAGGCGAGGUGCCACGGUAGGAUUCAUGACUAGGGUGAAGUCGUAACAAGGUAG
rnacentral:rRNA from 1 species